AUUGAACGCUGGCGGCAUGCUUUACACAUGCAAGUCGAACGGCAGCGCGGGGCAACCUGGUGGCGAGUGGCGAACGGGUGAGUAAUAUAUCGGAACGUACCCAAGAGUGGGGGAUAACGUAGCGAAAGUUACGCUAAUACCGCAUACUAUCUAAGGAUGAAAGCAGGGGAUCUUCGGACCUUGUGCUCCUGGAGCGGCCGAUAUCUGAUUAGCUAGUUGGUGAGGUAAAGGCUCACCAAUGCGACGAUCAGUAGCUGGUCUGAGGGGACGACCAGCCACACUGGAACUGAGACACGGUCCAGACGCCUACGGGAGGCAGCAGUGGGGAAUUUUGGACAAUGGGCGCAAGCCUGAUCCAGCAAUGCCGCGUGAGUGAAGAAGGCCUUCGGGUUGUAAAGCUCUUUUGUCAGGGAAGAAACGGUGGGGGCUAAUAUCCCUCGCUAAUGACGGUACCUGAAGAAUAAGCACCGGCUAACUACGUGCCAGCAGCCGCCGUAACAC
rnacentral:rRNA from 1 species